rnacentral:rRNA from 1 species
GAGGAGCCUGCGGCGGAUUAGCUAGUUGGUAGGGUAACGGCUUACCAAGGCGACGAUCCGUAACCGGCCUGAGAGGGCGGUCGGUCACACUGACACUGACAUACGGGUCAGACUCCUACGGGAGGCAGCAGUCGGGAAUUUUGGGCAAUGGGCGAAAGCCUGACCCAGCAACGCCGCGUGAAGGAUGAAAUCCCUCGGGAUGUAAACUUCGCAAGAAUGGGAAGAAUGAGCGAGCGCUAAUACCGUUCGUGAUGACGGUACCAUUUGUAAGCUCCGGCUAACUCCGUGCCAGCAGCCGCGGUAAUACGGGGGGAGCAAGCGUUGUUCGGAUUUACUGGGCGUAAAGGGCGCGUAGGCGGCCACUGCAAGUCGGUUGUGAAAUCUCCGGGCUUAACCCGGAAAGGUCAACCGAUACCGCAGGGCUAGAGUGCGGAAGGGGCAACUGGAAUUCUCGGUGUAGCGGUGAAAUGCGUAGAUAUCGAGAGG